UGGGCCUGGCCUGAUGAUAAUCUCCCUCCUUUCUGAGAUUAUCUGGCCUCCUGGGUUCCUGGCCACAGCUGUGUCUUCAUGGCUCUUGGCCACUUUGUGGGAGCUUUGCUUUGUUUCUAUUCACUGUCUCUCACCUUCAGGCAGUGGAGUGUGGACAUGGGCAGGACCCUUUUGGCUGCUGGGCCUCUAAACUCCCUUCCCUGCAACAUAUAAAAGCCUGGGUAUGUUGAAAAAUGUUUUUGGCUUAUUUGUUUUUGCUUUUAUUCUGAGGAAAUAGAAGUUUAUGCCCAGAACCCAAACAACUUUGUCUGGAAUAUUAGACACUGUGUACUCUUUGGCUCACUGUUGGGCCAAAUUGCGUCCCUUCCUCCACCAAAGGAAAAAAAAGGUAUGUGGAGUCCCAACCUCCUCAGAAUGUGACCUUAUAGGGUCUUUACAGUGGUAAUCAAGUUAAAAUGAGGUCAUUUGGUGGGCUGUGGUCUGAUAUGACUGAUGUCUUUAUAAGAAGAGGAAGUUUGGACACAGGCAAGCACACGGGGAGAGUGCCAUUUAAACGUGAAGACGGGCAACAACCCAAAUGAGAGAAUGUGAUUGUAUUUGGAGAUGGAGCCUUUGAAGAUGUGAUGGAGGUAAAUUGAGCCACCAGGAUGUGCCCUAAUCCAAUCUGACUGUGCUUACAAGAAGAGGAAAUUUAGAAACAUAGAGAAACACCAGGGAUACAGGCACAGAGAAAGGACCGUGGGAGGACACAGCAAGAGGGCGGCCAUCUGCAAACCAGGGAGCAAGGCCUUAGAGGAAACCAGCCCUGCAGGCACCUUGAUCUUGGACUUCCAGCCUCCAGAACUUUUGGAGGAAUCCCAGAGCAGCGGCUUUGUUCCUUACUUUUUCAGGAUAGACCGGGGAAAUAUCAAGUCCCAGAGAACUGCUGCAUCCAGCACAUGCCACCCAGGUGGUGGGUUAGAAAGGGCGGAAUGAAGGGGGAAGACAGAGAGAAUGGAGAUGCCACUAUCCUGCAGCAACAGUGAGGUAAAAGUUAUAGGAAACAAAGAAGUAACCUUUUCUGGUACCUCAAUGCAUUGGACAUAGUUUUCAAAUCACUACGACAUGUGUGUGAAUUCUUCUGAGUUCUGUAAGGCUUUGUCCCCAGCUUUUGCCACAGGAAAGCUUCUUUGCAGUGACUCCAUCCCCUAUGCCCGUCCUUCUGGCAUCCUCGCUCCAUCCUAUGGUUGCUGUGGAGACGGCUCCAGCCCCUCAGGUCCUGUGUGUGCUGGAGGGACAUGGAGCCCUUCAGAUUUUGUAGGGUGAAGUGCCCUGAAGCCAAGGGAUUUUGCCCUGCCUGUCCUGCCCUCCUCUCUCUGCCAGCAUCAGCCUUGCCAAACUCUUCACCUAAGGCUGGCUUCCAGACAUGAGUAAGAAGAGAUGAGAUUUUGGGGCAAGGAAGACCCAGCUCGGAAACACACUUGUGAAUCUGGAUAUCUGUGUCUUAAAUAAUUUUGUGGUUUUUUUUCUUACUACUAAAUUCAUAUUCAUUGUGGAAGAUUUGGAAACUUUUGACAAGCCAAAAGAAGAAAGUAAAAAUCACUAGAUAAUCCUACCACCAAGAGACAGCCGCUGUUCAUAUUUUAGUUUACCAACUCACAUACGCAUUUUCCUACACAACUAACUCCCUAUUUAUGUGAUUGUCCACUUAGGACUUGUGAAUCUUUCCAUGUCAUUCACUUAAAAACAAGUAAACGUUGUAUUAUUAAAAUAGAGUUUAAGGCAAUAAACCAAAAUGUUAACAGUGAUUAACUCU